rnacentral:rRNA from 1 species
UACGGGGGGAGCAAGCGUUGUUCGGAUUUACUGGGCGUAAAGGGCGCGUAGGCGGUCAGCACAAGUCAGUUGUGAAAUCUCCGGGCUUAACUCGGAAGGGUCAACUGAUACUGUGCGACUAGAGUGCGGAAGGGGCAACUGGAAUUCUUGGUGUAGCGGUGAAAUGCGUAGAUAUCGUAAGGAAGACCAGUGGCGAAGGCGGGUCUCUGGACAGUUCCUGACGCUGAGGCACGAAGGCCAGGGGAGCAAACGGG